GACAGAGGUGCCGAGCGUUAGGCGGAAUCACUGGGCUUAAAGCGUGUGUAGGCGGGCCGUUAAGUGUCUUGUGGAAUCCCCCGGCUCAACCGGGGAAUUGCUGGGCAUACUGGCGGUCUUGAGCAGUUCAGGGGCAGAUGGAACAAGUGGUGGAGCGGUGAAAUGCGUAGAUAUCACUUGGAACGCCAACGGUGAAAACAGUCUGCUGGGAACUUGCUGACGCUGAGACACGAAAGCCAGGGGAGCGAACGGG
rnacentral:rRNA from 1 species